GACGAACGCUGGCGGCGCGCUUAACACAUGCAAGUCGAGCGAAGCGGCGGACGGGUAAGUAACACGUGAGUAACCUGCCUUAGACAUUGGACUGGCCUCGGGAAACCGUGAUUAAUACCAAAUGGUCUAAGAUGGACUCGCGUCCCAUUAGCUAGUUGGUGGGUAACGGCCCACCAAGCCGACGAUGGGUAGCCGGGCUGAGAGGGGGAACGGGCACAUUGGAACUGAGAAACAGUCCAAACUCUACGGGAGGGAGCAGUGGGGAAUAUUGCACAAUGGAGGGAACUCUGAUGCUGCGACGCCGCGUGAACGAAGAAGGCUUUCGAGUCGGAAAGUUCUUUUAUAUGGGAAGCGGUACCAUAAGAGAAAGCCCCGGCUAACUACGUGCCAGCAGCCGCGGUAAUAC
rnacentral:rRNA from 1 species